UAGUCAAUGCUCGAAAGAGUGAACUAGCUAACUGAAAUCAUACUUGUGUCAAGUGUGAUAACGUAAGGGAAGAUAAUGACAGUACCUUACUAUUAGUGUUGUCCAAAACUGGUGCCAGAAGACUCGGUAAGGCCAGAGACGCGAACGUUAGUCGUCCUAAUCAGGCGUAAAGGGUGUGUAGGCAGCUUUAAAGUUUUUCUUUAUUACUUAAAUUCUUUUGCUUUUUAUUUUAAUAAAAUUAAAAAAUAAAAAAUAAUAAGUCUAAACUUAUUUAAUGUAGACUGAUUAAUUCGUUUUUAGAUAUAUUUAAUUUAUUUAUUUUUAAAUAAUUAUUGAAUAUAUUCUAAAUAUAACUAAAAUUGUUUUAGUUAAAAAAAGAAUAAACUGAUAAUGAAAAAUUAUUUAGUUAUUUAGAGUUAAUUAAAGUAGAGAUAAGAUGAAUAAAAGCUAGAAUCAUAUAGAGGAUAUUUAAAUAAUACUUAGAGGAGGGGUGAUAUCCUUAGAUACUUUGUAGAAUAUUAAUGGUGAAAGCUUUUAUCUAUAAAUGAUUGACGCUGAGAAACGAAGGUGAGGAUAGGAAAUAGGAUUAGAUACCCAGAUACCCCUCACUGUCAACGAUGAAUGGUGGUUGCUAAUUAUAUAAAUUAAUUGGUGGCGAUGUUAACACGAUAACCAUUCCGCCAUGUGAGUACGACUGCAAAGUUGAAAACAAAAAAAUUAGUCGGUCUCGAAGCAAACGAAGUGAAGCAUGUUAUUUA
rnacentral:rRNA from 1 species